AGUGAGCUAUGAACCCAGACAUGCGUUUUGGUUUGAACGCACCCUUAACGGCUCGUGUACACUAGCACGCGGUAAAUUGCUGCGUACCGCUUAGGCCCCGCCCUGUGUGGCUAGCUUGUGGGCAUGCUGGCAGCAUAUAGCAGCACGUUCGAUUGUGGGUCAAGAAUUCAGCAUACCAAGUUUGUAUUAAGGUCUGGUUAUUAAAUGGGUAAAUAGUUUAAUCCAAUUAUCAUUUAAUGAAUUUAUUCACAGGUAAAUAGUAAUAUCCUCUAAAAUGCUCUGGUGACAAACAAACUUUGCUGCCCUGUUUCCAAUCAUCCACAUGUCUGGGAGAACCUAUUCAAAUACAGAGAGCUGUGAAAGCAUGCCUGCAGAUGAAGAGGACCCAAUGAAGAGCAGUGGUUCUCAGUCCUGGUCCUGGGAACUCAAAGGGAUGCCUUGUAACUGGAUAUUCCUUCAAAACGAUUCCCUAAAGUUACCGUGUAGGGCACUGCAAGGUUGGGUGACCAGGGCCAUCCGGGACUGCCUCUUGGGGGAAUUCAGGUGUGUGAAGGCUACCUGUGUCCUGCAUAACUUCAUGAGGAUGGACACGAGGACCAGGAGUGGAUUUGCAGCUCGCCGCCGUGUGCCAGAGGAGAAUCUGCUACUCUGCAGGAUGUUUCAAGGAUGGGGUCCAACAACGCAGCAAGAGAGGCAAUCUGUGUGCGGGAGAUCUUCUUCGAAGAGGGUGCUGUUCCCUGGCAACACCAUAGACUACACUAUGCAGAACCAAAGGCUCUUUUAAGAGCCACCCACAUUGCAAUAAGAGUGUUCUUCCAUCUACUUACAUAUGAAUUUAUUUAAUAGCAACUGCAUUUAUUUAAUUCACAGUUUCUCUCCCUUUGAUUUCUACUUCUCAUGUUAGGGUGUUUAGGUUGUGAGGGUGUGAUGUCUGUAAAAAAAAAAAAACAGGCUAUUUUAAUUCACCCAUAUUGAAAAACAUUUAGAACAAUUUAUGGAUUGUGUUGUGCAGUAAGCAGGCUCAGGUGUACAACUGUUGCUCCUUCCACCUUCAAAGAAUAGGCAAGAGGGCCAACCAUGGAGAAUAGUAAGACACUUCAUUAUUUCUAAAACUACACGUUAUUCAGCAUAAAGUACUCUGUAGCCACUUAGUGUGGACACCAGUUGAGGCCACACACACAGAUUCCUGUUGAACCCUGUCUCUACCUUAUUUUCUCAAUAACAGUCUCUCUCCUUCACUUCA